GGGGGCGACACGGUUUCGACGGGUUCGUGGAAACUUGCGUCGCGUGCCGAGGACCCCGGUUGGCCUCGAUAAUCAUCCGGGAAAACAAACACAAAAGCCAACGACGAAUUGGCCCUCGCGGCUUAACUCCCGCGACGUCCGACCACUUCCGCCUGCGCGGUGGAUCCGGGCGACGACAGCAGGCUGGCGACUGCCUCCGGGUUUCCGGGAGGGAGCGCGAGAACCCAACAGGGAACUGGCGGUGGUCCUGGCCCGUCCGCGGGCAGGGACCGUGGCGAGACUCAAACGCGGAACACGCACGUAGAAGCGCAAGGGAAACGGAUUCGGACGCGGGUUCGACUCCCGCCGCCUCCACCA
rnacentral:tmRNA from 1 species